ensembl:lncRNA
AUGAUUCAGGCUGAUCCACUUCUGCACGGCGAAACUUCUUCCACGUUUGUGACUGCAUGCUUCUCAAAAUAUAGUUCUCAAAAAAUGAAAAAGGAAGUACCGCUUUGCCAGGCGCCCGAAAUGCAGAACGUGUAUGAUCUCCUGGAUAUGGCUCUUCGGAAAGGAAGACAGACCUGCCAGCUUAUCUACCAUUCUCUAGGAAUGUGUUCACCCUUACCGUUUGAAAGAGCACAUUUCCUGCACCCGCCAGCCACCACAUUAAUCAUAAACAUCAGUAACUCCACCUUGGUAGACUGUGCUAUUGGGAACGGAAACCUGCCACACGAAGUAGUGGACAGACAACCUCUAAUGUGGGGCUGUGCACCCAACGUCCAUGGGGACAUGAUGUGUAGCUGCUUCCAUGGCCACCAUGUGGCAGCAGAGCCUACUCUUCUUCCCCCACCGGCCACAAUCAGCGUCCAUAGCUCCCAACUGAACUAUGUCAUCAUAGGAGACAGCAACUACAUGAACGUGACACAGACACACUGA